rnacentral:rRNA from 1 species
CGGCAACAGCUCAAAUUUGAAAUCUGGCCUCUUUGGGGUCCGAGUUGUAAUUUGUAGAGGAUGUUUCGGGUACCGCCUCGGUUUAAAUUUCUUGGAACAGAAUGUCAAAGAGGGUGAGAAUCCCGUCU